UUGAACGCUGGUGGCAUGCCUUACACAUGCAAGUCGAACGGUAACAGGUUAAGCUGACGAGUGGCGAACGGGUGAGUAAUGUAUCGGAACGUGCCCAGUCGUGGGGGAUAACUGCUCGAAAGAGCAGCUAAUACCGCAUACGACCUGAGGGUGAAAGCGGGGGAUCGCAAGACCUCGCGCGAUUGGAGCGGCCGAUAUCAGAUUAGGUAGUUGGUGAGGUAAAGGCUCACCAAGCCGACGAUCUGUAGCUGGUCUGAGAGGACGACCAGCCACACUGGGACUGAGACACGGCCCAGACUCCUACGGGAGGCAGCAGUGGGGAAUUUUGGACAAUGGGCGCAAGCCUGAUCCAGCCAUGCCGCGUGCGGGAAGAAGGCCUUCGGGUUGUAAACCGCUUUUGUCAGGGAAGAAAAGGUUCUGGCUAAUACCUGGGACUCAUGACGGUACCUGAAGAAUAAGCACCGGCUAACUACGUG
rnacentral:rRNA from 1 species